CACACAUCUAUUACACUAUCCACCACCAUUCAUCAAAAAUCUGCUAAAAAUAUUGUUAGCACUCACUGUCCCAAAGUGUUGUUAUUCUCUCUCUCCAAAAAGAUUCAAUACAGAAAGAGGCAUGGGCUAUGCAAAAAAUAUACGAGGAAAUAAAAAGGGAAAGUGGCCGGAACCUCGAAAAAGAAAGAAAAAGAGUGAGACGAGAGGUAAAAAUGGACAAGUGUCCGACAGUAGAAUUAGGGGUAUUUACUACCCACCUGAAAAAAGAGAGAGA
rnacentral:lncRNA from 1 species